UCAAAUAAAUGUGCUCUGGAUAAUGUGGAACUAGUGCUGUACAAUUAUUAGUGAUUUACUUUGAGGAGAAUUUCUCACAGAUUCUGACUGGAAAUAAAAUCCAUUGGAAUUGGGAUUUGUUCAAGAGUUGGAAGAGAUGAACACUGAUACAUGUGAAACAUACUUGGUCAGUUGAAUGUUUUGUUUACUUUAGAUAUAUCUAUCCAUCCUAUCCUGAAAAUGCAAACCCAAGACAUUUCAUCACUGCCUACAUAAUGUCAUUUUCCCGUCCUUUUACAUGUUUUAUUUGGUUUUAUGUGACACAUACAUACAAGAAACAGCUGCUGAGGAAAGUUGUAAAUGCUCAUUGGGGAAAAAUGUGAUUUAGUGUGAAAAGUUCAAUUUAGGAUUUAUUUAUUCUUUGACUUUUUACAGCUGUAUUAACUUGUGCAAUAUUGCAAUUUAGGAUAUUUGGGAAGAUGAACUUCAGGCUUCGUUUUGAAAUGUUUUGUUCGUUUUUGAAAUGUUAAUGUUUUUAGGGAACCCUUAAAGGCUUUGAUCAGACCAUUAACUUGAUUUUGGAUGAAAGUCAUGAAAGAGUCUUUAGUUCUUCACAAGGAGUGGAACAAGUAGUAUUAGGAUUGUACAUUGUAAGAGGAGAUAAUGUAGCUGUAAUUGGAGAGAUUGAUGAAGAGACAGAGACCACACUUGAAAUGGGGAAUAUUUGAGCAGAACCUUUGAACUCUGCUGUACAUUGAAGAAAAAGACCAAUACAAAAGGAAUUCAUAAAUCUCAGCCUGUACAGAACUAUUUAUAGGAUGGCAUGGCUACUUUUUAGAGGCUUUAUGUAAUGACCUAGUUUAUUAUUGUGAAUUUUAUGGUUUGAUCUGUAAAUUAAAGGUUUACAUUUUAUUGAU